rnacentral:tRNA from 1 species
GCUCCGCUGGCGCAAUGGUAGCGCGCCAGACUUCUAAUUUUAGCUGCGAGUUCGAGUCUCGCGCGGAGUG